rnacentral:RNase_P_RNA from 1 species
GAUAGCCGCUCCGCAGUUGCGGGGAGGAAAGUCCGAACACCCCCGGCCCUUUUGAGGGACUAACUGCAUUAUGUCUCUUCAGAUUUUACGAUUAGUGUAUUCCAGAGAAUGUAACGAAAGGUUGGUAACUCAAAAGGGUCGGGAAGCAGGUGAUGGGUAACGCCCACCGUCACGAUAGCAAUAUCGUUGAUAGGGAAAGUGCCACAGAGACAAUACUAACCGCCACUUCGUGGCGGCAAAAGGUGAAAAGUGUGCGGACAUAUUCUUCAAGGGAAUAUCACCGCAGUUUCCGGUAGAGCAAUUUGCCGGAAUGGCAAACCCCACCUGGUGCAAGGCCGUACUCCGAUGCGCAGCAUCGGUUCGCAAAACAGACGCGAAAAACCGCCUACGGCGGGUAACGCAAAACAGACGCAUAACACGACGAGGUGUUUCGCGUCAGUUUCGCGUCAGUUUCGCGCUGGUUUGGCGUACCGCUGUUGCGCAGCGGAGGGUGCCGCUUGAGUCCUCGAGUAAUCGCGGACCUAGAUAAAUGGCUAUCUCCAGACCUUUUGGGUACAAAA